CCAAAAGGGCACGGCUGACCCAAGCCUUCUCCGGGACCACACAUUCCCGGGUGAGAACGAGGGGCUUCUUGGGAGGAAAUGAAAGGAGAUGGAAGAUGCAGGUUUUGCCUUACGUUUUUUCUAAGGAGAACCACUGAGAAGAUUCAUUUUGAAAGAGAAAGAUGGGCCUGGCAGUGUGAUGUAAAUGCAGGCAUUCGGAGUCCCUGCUGGAGCCCACACAGAGGUACCUUCCUUACAACUCCCUACCUCCCUCAGCAAAACACAAGGCCUGUGAAUGAGGGAUGCAAAAUGGACACAGAGGAGGAAGGAGGCACCUGAAGGCACCUUCUAGAAGCACAGAAUCUCACUGAAGCCUGUACACAUGCUCGUGAGCAUCAGGCUAUUGGGUAGGGGUGGAGUGGGGGUGCUCUAUAUCCAGGUGACCAUGGAGGGAAUUAUAGGUCAUAAAGGUGAUCUUUAUUUCUGAUCUGUUUUCAAU
rnacentral:lncRNA from 1 species